rnacentral:rRNA from 1 species
UUUAUGUUUUAGUAAAUUUUAGAAUAAAUAUAUUAUAUUGAUAGUUUAAGUAAUGUAAAUGAAAUUAGAUAGAUUUUAUAAAGUAUAAUUAAAUUUAGUACCUUUUGUAUCAGGGUUGAUUAAAAAAUUUUUAUUAAUAAUAAAUAUCUCGAAAUUAAAAGAGCUAAAUAUAUAAAUUUUUUUUUGUGGAAUAAAAAUUAUUAAUAUAUAUUUAGAGAUUAAAUGUUAUUCAAUUUUAAUGAUAUCUAGUUUUUUUUGAAUUAAAUUUAAUUUAUAGGUUUUUAGAAAUAAUUUUUUAUUAUAAAAAAUUAUUUUAUGAGAAUUUAAAUAAUUUAUGGGUUAAACUAUAAAUUAAUAUAUAAUUUAUAUAUGUAUAUGGAUAUUGUAAAUAUUAAUUUUAAAAUUAGAUUGUAUAUAAUAAAAAUGUAAAAAUUUAUUUAAUUUUAUAUAUUAUUUAAUAUAUUUUUUAAAGAAAAAUUAAUUUUAAUAUUAUUAAUUAAGUUAAAAUGAUUAAAUGAGUAAUAUAAAUUGUAUAAUUGAUUUUGUUUGGAAGUAUAUAUAUAUAUUUAAGGAAUUAGGCAAAAUUUAUAUUCACCUGUUUACCAAAAACAUGUCUUUUUGAAUUUAAUUUAAAGUCAGUUCUGCUCAAUGAAAAGUUAAAUAGCUGCAGUAUCUUGACUGUACAAAGGUAGCAUAAUAGAUUGUCUUUUAAUUAAAGGCUGGAAUGAACGAAUUAAUGAAAUAUAAACUGUCUCAAUUAUAUAAAAUGAAAUUAAAUUUUAAGUAAAAAUGCUUAAAUAAUUUUGAGGGACGAUAAGACCCUAUAGAAUUUUAUAUAUUUAUGAAUUUAUUAAAUUUAUAUGUAUAUUUGAUUGGGAGGAUUUUUAAAUUUAAUAAACUUUAAAGUUUUAAAAUAUUAAUUUAUAGAAUUUAUGAAAUAUUUUUUAUAUUAUAAGAAUAAAUUACCUUAGGGAUAACAGCGUAAUAUUUUUGGAAAGAUCAAAUUGAAAAAAGUGUUUGCGACCUCGAUGUUGAAUUAAAAUUAAUUAUAAAUGCAGGAGUUUAUAAAUUAGGUCUGUUCGACCUUUAAAAUUUUACAUGAUUUGAGUUCAGAUCGACGUGAGUCAGAUUGGUU